rnacentral:rRNA from 1 species
AUGAACGCUAGCUACAGGCUUAACACAUGCAAGUCGAGGGGCAGCAUGGUCUUAGCUUGCUAAGGCCGAUGGCGACCGGCGCACGGGUGAGUAACACGUAUCCAACCUGCCGUCUACUCUUGGACAGCCUUCUGAAAGGAAGAUUAAUACAAGAUGGCAUCAUGAGUCCGCAUGUUCACAUGAUUAAAGGUAUUCCGGUAGACGAUGGGGAUGCGUUCCAUUAGAUAGUAGGCGGGGUAACGGCCCACCUAGUCUUCGAUGGAUAGGGGUUCUGAGAGGAAGGUCCCCCACAUUGGAACUGAGACACGGUCCAAACUCCUACGGGAGGCAGCAGUGAGGAAUAUUGGUCAAUGGGCGAGAGCCUGAACCAGCCAAGUAGCGUGAAGGAUGACUGCCCUAUGGGUUGUAAACUUCUUUUAUAAAGGAAUAAAGUCGGGUAUGGAUACCCGUUUGCAUGUACUUUAUGAAUAAGGAUCGGCUAACUCCGUGCCAGCAGCCGCGGUAAUACGGAGGAUCCGAGCGUUAUCCGGAUUUAUUGGGUUUAAAGGGAGCGUAGAUGGAUGUUUAAGUCAGUUGUGAAAGUUUGCGGCUCAACCGUAAAAUUGCAGUUGAUACUGGAUAUCUUGAGUGCAGUUGAGGCAGGCGGAAUUCGUGGUGUAGCGGUGAAAUGCUUAGAUAUCACGAAGAACUCCGAUUGCGAAGGCAGCCUGCUAAGCUGCAACUGACAUUGAGGCUCGAAAGUGUGGGUAUCAAACAGGAUUAGAUACCCUGGUAGUCCACACGGUAAACGAUGAAUACUCGCAGUUUGCGAUAUACUGCAAGCGGCCAAGCGAAAGCGUUAAGUAUUCCACCUGGGGAGUACGCCGGCAACGGUGAAACUCAAAGGAAUUGACGGGGGCCCGCACAAGCGGAGGAACAUGUGGUUUAAUUCGAUGAUACGCGAGGAACCUUACCCGGGCUUAAAUUGCAGAUGAAUUACGGUGAAAGCCGUAAGCCGCAAGGCAUCUGUGAAGGUGCUGCAUGGUUGUCGUCAGCUCGUGCCGUGAGGUGUCGGCUUAAGUGCCAUAACGAGCGCAACCCUUGUUGUCAGUUACUAACAGGUUCCGCUGAGGACUCUGACAAGACUGCCAUCGUAAGAUGUGAGGAAGGUGGGGAUGACGUCAAAUCAGCACGGCCCUUACGUCCGGGGCUACACACGUGUUACAAUGGGGGGUACAGAGGGCCGCUACCACGCGAGUGGAUGCCAAUCCCCAAAACCUCUCUCAGUUCGGACUGGAGUCUGCAACCCGACUCCACGAAGCUGGAUUCGCUAGUAAUCGCGCAUCAGCCACGGCGCGGUGAAUACGUUCCCGGGCCUUGUACACACCGCCCGUCAAGCCAUGGGAGCCGGGGGUACCUGAAGUGCGUAACCGCGAGGAGCGCCCUAGGGUAAAACUGGUGACUGGGGCU